UAAAUAAAUAAAAAAUAAAAUUAGGCAUAUAUAUAUACCUAUAUACACGUAUAUAUUUUUUCAGACAGUUGUUAAGAUUUUGUCAGCACCCUUUUGCGUAUAUCCUUCUCUUGAGUUUCUGCUCAAAUGUCAUAUUCCCCAUGAAAUCCUUUUGGAUCUUGUCUAAACCGGUAUUAAAUGCACCUUCUGCCUUCCAUAGCAACUUGGGACCUAAUUAAAAUGCUUUUUAUCCUAAAGAGUACUUAGUUUUAUGCAUAUAUCUAUUUAUCUCUCUGUCUGGUAACCUCCUAGAAAAUAAAAGAAAAAGUAUUAUAGAUCUUAAUCUUGGCAUGCAGCUUGACAUUUAGCAUGAAACUAUACUGUAAGACUCUCAGGAAAUAUUUGUCAAAAAAUCAAAUAUUUCACAGGGUUUGAUUUAGAUGGCAUUAUAAAAUAGUUUCCUUUUUCCAGUGGAUUCUAGAUAUCUUCUCAUUGCCUGCGAGGAGAUCAGCUGACAAUAGAGUGGAUUUGAAGUAAAAGAAAUUGAAUUAAUAUUUUUCUUUCACCACAUUAGUGAAAUGUAACACAUUAGUAAAUCUCUUAGAAUUAAUUUAUUGAUUAAUUUUAAGAAAAACCAAUCUUCCUUCUUCACAAAAUAUUCUUACUAAAUAAGAAGAAUUGGGGUCAGGAUAAAAUUAAUAGGUACUGAGCCAGCUUUUUCUUUCCUGCAUUUUUCUAGGUCUAAGAUUCUUUACCCAGCUUUUACCUGAUAAUAAUAUCAAUAAUAAUAACAGUUAAUGCUUUUAUGUGCCUCCUGUGCUCCAAGUGCUUCACAUAUUUAUCAAAUACUCAUCACAUUUCUAUAAGGCCAUGCAGUCAUUGGCAGUGGGCAUGACCUCCACGCUCUUCAGUCUCCUAUGGAAUCUGGAGCAUCACUUGGAGAAGCUUGGACUCUUCCCAGCCUUUUUAUGGGAAAGGGAAGCCAUCUUUGAAGACAGUAGAAGAGCAAUUAUCUCGUGGAUAAUCAUGGAAAUCACCUUUUAAAAAAUUACUAUUAAAAAUGUGAGUGUUGAAUAAAGAGAAUGCUUUUAGUUAUAAAAACUCA
rnacentral:lncRNA from 1 species